rnacentral:lncRNA from 1 species
AAUGAACCUAUGCAGACUGCAGCAUUUCUGCAAAUGGACAAUAGGAGGCCAGAUUUAAUGGGAUUAUUCAUAUACCUAUUAAUCACAGGUUUGUAGGAUCAAAGCCUGUGUUCCUAAUCCAAAUUAAUUAUCCAGUGUAGAUUUAAGAUUACAGGAGAAUCUCAUCUCUGCUGAGUUGAAUGAUCUGAGUUGAAUGAUUUUCAAAAUCAAGAUUUCUUGACUUACCUUGGAAAUAAUUUGAGGCUAACUUGCAUUCAGUAGUUCUGGAAGGAAAAUGGCACCUGGAGCUACCUGGCUGUUUUCCACCAUUGCAAUUUCCACUGUUGCUAAGGCACAAUAUCCUAGAGACAGAUUCCCCGGUCUUUGACUUGCACAAUUAGAUGAUAAUUGCUGACCUGGGAUGUGUCUGGCACGGAGCUGCCUACAAAUAAGAGAAACUUAUUGAAGAUAUAAUUCUUUUGCAAAAGCAUGACAGCUGGUCUAGGGAUGUGAAAUUAAGCUCCCCUCUUUGUUAAUUGCUGCUAAAUAAUUAGAGCAGCUACCUUGCUACAGGGAGAUCUGUGUUCUUGAUUUUGUGUAUUUUCUAUUUAUACUAAUGGUUCAAUUCAGUUUCAUUACUGCCAGUGAUAGCAAGGUGGCUAACACAAUAGCUCUGCUGAUCCUGCUAGAAGGAAAGAGUACUAAGAAGUUGAAGUACUGCUGGGACAGUCCUGUACCGUACUUCCAUGAUACUUGUCUUUUAGAGUCUUGUAAUGACUGUACUAAAUGCUUGCUGCUGAUAGUCCUGAGCUCCUGGCUGACAAAUAUUCACUUUAAGGGUUUGUGAAGCACAGGUGAUCCGGAAGUCCAUGCUGCAUCUGGACCUGCAGUUCUUUUCUGGCAUGUUUAUCCCAUCCAUCCCCCAGCUGCGGUUUCAGCAGGGACUGAAGGGAGGUCAGAGGCGAUUUGCUCUGUAAACACUGCAGCCCACCCCCCGGAACAGAAAAAACAAGUUGCAUAUAGAUGUCAUUUGAACCCUUUCCCUUUUUCUUAGUCCUUUGUGUGAUUUAUGUAAAUGCCAAUGUAGAAUCAGUCUCUGUAUAAUAUACAAAGUAAAAAAUCUUUUAAAAAAAUAAUAAAAAAAGAUUAAAACAAGAUUGGUUUUAUAGA